rnacentral:lncRNA from 1 species
GAGAACCCGGAUGAGGGCGCCCUGUUGGGGCGUCUUUGAGAAGCGGUGGCGGGUGCUGAGGUGGUGGAUGCGGGCGUGAGCGGGUAGCGGAAGUGUGCGGACGUCCCCUCCUCCCCCGAAGCUGAUCUGCGGAUCUCAUCCCCGGGCCUCGCCCCUCGCCUUCCCCAAACCCCGUCCACUCCCCUUUCAUUGCUCCGGGAGCCGUCGGGGCUGUUUCCCCUUUGGGAACGGAAAGGUACCGCAGAGGCUUAGAGAGGGGAGGAAGGUGACAUCAAUUUGUGCAUCUCCCAGACUAGCACCGAGGCACUGCUUGCCGCUCAGGCCCCGUCGGAUUGCCUGUCCUCCGGCAGCUCAGCGCGAAGGUGUGAACUCAGCUUCCUUCAGAGCCUCCCCGCCAUGACCUCCAAGAAGCUGGUGAACUCAGUGGCAGGCUGUGCCGACGAUGCCCUUGCUGGCCUGGUGGCCUGCAACCCCAGCCUGCAGCUCCUGCAAGGCCACCGAGUGGCCCUCCGUUCUGACCUGGACAGUCUCAAGGGCCGGGUGGCCCUACUGUCGGGUGGGGGCUCUGGCCAUGAGCCUGCCCAUGCCGGUGAGCACCCUGGGCUGGAGGUGGGGGUGGGCUCUGGGCAGAAUGAUCUCUCCUAGGAGAUCUUCGGUGCUGUUAGGAGGUUCAGAACAGAGCCGGGCCCUGGAAACAGCUCUCCCACUCCCUUGAGCUGUGAUCUGGGGCCAGUUAUGCCCUCUCUCUGUGCCUCAGUCUCUACAUCUAUAAAAGCACAAGGUUGGGCCAAAUAGGGAGUUCCCGUUGUGGUGCAAUGGAAACAAAUCUAACUAGUAUCCAUGAGGUUGCAGGUUCGAUCCCUGGCA